ACGGCUGUAGCUUAAUAAAAGCACUCCGCUGAAGACGGAGUAGAUGGUGAUUUAUGUGCCCGACGUU
rnacentral:tRNA from 1 species